GGCCUUGUCUCCCUGCUGGAGGUGGUCUCCAGUGCUUAGAGACUCCUGGUCUGUGACUGGUGCAGAAGACUUUGUUCCAGUUUCUCCAUUUCUGACUUGACCGGAUGGAAAGUCUCCUGUGGCCUCUCCUCCACUAGCAGGAACAGUCUGUAUUCUCUUCCGCUGCCACACUUGACAAACUGGAGGAACUUUCAGUCUCCCCCACAGGGCUCCUGUGGCCACACGGACGAGGCUCAGGGUCUUCAGGUAGAGACAAGCGUGGCUGGCUGUCCUCGGGAUCCGACGUGCAGCAAAGAAACCGGCCAUCUGGAUCUCGGGCACUGGGCAGACUUGAAGGAUCCUGUGCCGUCACCAUUAAGCGCAUAGGACUGUCCAUCUGCUUAACAUUUGUUUUCUAGGAGGAAAGGGAAGAUAGUUAUAAAAGCUGCCCAUGGGAAAAGAUGUCACUGACACCUAGAAACAGAACUCCUGCUGGAGAGAACUCGCUGCCGCUCCAGCCCUCCUAAGAUCACAUGAAAAGCUGAUCUCAAGAAAUACAAAUGGAUUUUUGCUAGUCCCCGAUACCACUUUCUUCUCUUGUAGGUACAUAUCCACUGGAGUGGUAAGACAGUCAAGAAUAUACAACAUGGGGGUGCCUGGGUGGCUCAGUGGGUUAAAGCCUCUGCCUUCGGUUUAGGUCAUGAUCCCAGGGUCCUGGGAUCGAGCCCCAUAUCGGGCUCUCUGCUCAGCAGGGAGCCUGCUUCCUCCUCUGACUGCCUCUCUGCCUACUUGUAAUCUGUCUUCAAAUAAAUAAAUAAAAUCUUUAAAAAAAAGAAAAGAGAAGGGUUAGAAAAAUUUUGGAAAAAAAAAGAAUAUACAACAUGGCUUGUCCUAAAUUAUGAACUUAUUUUAGAAAGGUGACCCUCAAAAACCUUAUUUUAUAAGGGCACACUGACUAUCUUUAGCUGAAGAAGAUAUUUUUAAAGGGUCUUGAGAGGGGUAGAGGUAUGCUUCCAUCCCCCCUCAUGUACAUGAAUAAAAGGGAGUCCUACUCAGUAUGGUAAAGUCUUGUCAUUUGCAAAUUGUCAUUUGAAGCUCCUGAGCCUGAAAUUCGUACUGAGAAUUUACAUGGUGUCCUUUAUUCCCCCAGACAGGCUCUGUUCAAUCUAGCUUACCACUUUCAAUUACGGGUUCAUGAUUUCAAGAACAGUGGCACAGCAGAUUUGUUUUUGAUAAAGGCAGUUCCUCUGUUGCCUAGUACUGAAUAUGAAAUAGGAACAUACCAAGCCAGUAUGAUCCCCAAUUAUUCUUAGUACUGUGGCUUGAGGAAACUGCAUGUCAUGUCAAAACUGCUUUUUGCAACUUCACAGUAUUUUAAAAAACAAACAGAUAUUACCAACUAUAUGGGAGUGGCUGAAAAAAACCACGGUUUGUCAACCUGAGGCCAAGGCCAUGCUAUUAACUAUGAAGACCAUGGUAAAGGCUGAAAUACAGAUUGAUGAUACACUGGAAAAAAAAAAAAAACAGGUAAAACCUAGGGUUAAAAUCUAAGGUCAUAAGUAUGCAAAAUUUACAUGUACAUAUAGCAGGGCUAAGGAAAAAUGGGGAAAAAAAUAUACCUCAUCUUUACAGUGGGUUUGCCUUUCUAUCAAGAUCAGAAAUUCUUACACUACUCCUAUUUGUUCAACAAAUAAAAAUGACUUUUAAAA